AUUGAACGCUGGCGGCAUGCGUAACACAUGCAAGUCGAACGGUGUUUGGUGCUUGCACCAGACAUAGUGGCGGACGGGUGAGUAAUGCGUAGGAAUCUGUCUUAGAGAGGGGGACAACCCGAGGAAACUUGGGCUAAAACCGCAUAUUCUCGAGAGAGGAAAGCAGGGACCGGAAACGGCCUUGUGCUCUAAGGUGAGCCUACGUCGGAUUAGCUAGUUGGUAGGGUAAAAGCCUACCAAGGCGAUGAUCUGUAGCUGGUCUGAGAGGACGGACAGCCACACUGGGACUGAGACACGGCCCAGACUCCUACGGGAGGCAGCAGUGGGGAAUAUUGGACAAUGGGGGAACCCUGAUCCAGCGAUGCCGCGUGUGUGAAGAAGGCCUGCGGGUUGUAAAGCACUUUCAGUGGGAAAGAGAAGCGUCUUGUGAAUAAUGGGACGUGGAGACGGUUACUCACAGAAGAAGCAACCGGCUAAACUCGUAGUGCCAGCAGCCG
rnacentral:rRNA from 1 species